rnacentral:rRNA from 1 species
UGGGGAAUAUUGCACAAUGGGGGAAACCCUGAUGCAGCAACGCCGCGUGAGUGAAGAAGUAUUUCGGUAUGUAAAGCUCUAUCAGCAGGGAAGAUAAUGACGGUACCUGACUAAGAAGCUCCGGCUAAAUACGUGCCAGCAGCCGCGGUAAUACGUAUGGAGCAAGCGUUAUCCGGAUUUACUGGGUGUAAAGGGUGCGUAGGUGGCAGUGCAAGUCAGAUGUGAAAGGCCGGGGCUCAACCCCGGAGCUGCAUUUGAAACUGCAUAGCUAGAGUACAGGAGAGGCAGGCGGAAUUCCUAGUGUAGCGGUGAAAUGCGUAGAUAUUAGGAGGAACACCAGUGGCGAAGGCGGCCUGCUGGACUGUUACUGACACUGAGGCACGAAAGCGUGGGGAGCAAACAGGA